AAGGCCAGUAGGUUCAGCUUCCAGUCCCUUCUCUCUUCGGACUGGGAAACUGAAGCCAAAAGCAAGCAGCGCCACGGGACGGUGAUGGAAGGAACCCCCCCUUCCCCGCCCCACAACCCCGUAACCCGCCUCCCGUUCCUGCUUCUUCCCACAGCCUAGCUCGUUCCUCUUGUGGACCCAAGACUGACCGGCAGGGGGCGCUCCUACCCCAGAACGAAGGGCCCUGGAUUGCAAAAUCCACACCCUGCAUUUGGUCAUCUGAGUCAAGGUUCAACACUCCACCUCUGCCCAAUGAAUCUCCCCCACACGCCUCAGGAUCACAUCAAGGCCAGAGAGGGUGAGCAACCUGGCCCAAGUCACACAGCGAUGCAGCUUGGUCAGCCCGGCUCUACUCUGCUGUGCUGCUUCCGGACACAGAGGACCUUCAUAUUUUCAGGAGGCCUCCCCAGGGACACAAUGGAAAGAAAUGACCUAUUUUCUGGAAGUUCAAAAUAAAACGAAAC